rnacentral:rRNA from 1 species
UAAGGAAUAUUGGACAAUGGGCGGAAGCCUGAUCCAGCCAUGCCGCGUGAAGGAAGAAGGCGCUCAGCGUUGUAAACUUCUUUUAAAUGGGAACAAUAACUCCGACGUGCUCGGGGCUUGAGGGUACCAUUAGAAUAAGCACCGGCUAACUCCGUGCCAGCAGCCGCGGUAAUACGGAGGGUGCAAGCGUUAUCCGGAAUCACUGGGUUUAAAGGGUGCGUAGGCUGUUUGAUAAGUCAGUUGUGAAAUA